GCAGCAAGCGCUUACUCUGAGACAGCCACUGAGUGGAUUCCCAAUGGCUGUUUAUUCCUUCCCAGCCCAAGAGCCCAAGUCCCCCCAAACGCACGGUACCAGGUACCGUUCUGGCCAAUCUGGACUCUGCAUCGUAUGAUGCCUCCCAUCUGUGAACUUCCGUUCUUGCAGAAGAAAACAGGCAAGAAACGGGCAAAGAAAACAAAGUGGCCAUUUCUAUAGGGAAAAAAAAGAAAAAGAAAGAAAGAAAAUACACAGCAAUAUGAAGAGAACCUGGUGGAUGUCUUUUCCAAAAUAGAAAUGCCUAGCUGGGCGGUGAUGGCACAUGUCUUUAAUCCCAGCACUCGGGAGGCAGAGGCAGGAGGAUCUCUGUGAGUUCGAGGCCAGCCUGGACUACCAAGUGAGUUCCAGGAAAGGCGCCAAAGCUACACAGAGAAACCCUGUCUCGAAAAACCAUUUAAAAAAAAAAAAAGUUCUACAGAGGUCACCGGCACCGAGCAAUCGAGUGGGAAAUGGCUCAGAUCUGCCAGGUGCCCAGCGCAGAAGGAGACCAGCGCAGGUGGUCAAGACGCCUCCUGCCUGAAUCCUCAGAGCGGCAGUACCCACUCACCCUUUGAGUGGUAUGGAGCUAUGGAGCUCAGAGCUCACACCUGGGUGGAGCCAGCAGCAGCAGGCAAAGGCCUGCCCUCCCUCCCCCACUCCACACUACUUGGCCUGAAGCAGAGAAUGUCACUGCUGCAUGGAGAGUCAGAGACCACCUGGAGAUCCCAGCAUCACUGCUCAGUAGUUUUGCACGUUUGGGGCCGGUGACACCUGAUCCUUCAGCCCCCCCUGCCCUCCCCCAACUCUUCAGCCACAGAGAAUUUGGUGUCUGACUCACAGGGUGCCGAGGGAGAUUAAGUGACACUGUGCCACCGACAGCUUGACUGUGCUGUGUCAAUGCUGUUGGCUUCUGUGUCCCCCAUUGGGUGCCUCCAAUAGCCCAGGGAGUCAUAACAUGAGCAGCAGUAGAUACAUUUGGGGCCCAGUAACCUGGGCUCAUAAUCAUGAUCUGUUACUUGAUCUGGAAGUCUGGCAAAGGUUAUUUGCUUGUUUUCCUGCCUAUGAUUGCCUGCGUGCAUGUUUGGUGCCUGUGGAAGCCAGAAGAGGGCAUCAGGUCCCCUGGAACUGGAGUUACAAAUGGUUGCGAGCUGCUGUGUGGGUGCUGGGAACCAAACACAGGUUCUCUGGAAGAGCAGUCAGUGAGUGCUCUUAUCCACUGAGCCAUCUCCCCAGGCCCCUAGCAAAGAAUUUGUUCUUUUUUAAAAAAUUAUGUUUAUUAUAUGUAUAUGCGUGUG